rnacentral:rRNA from 1 species
GGGUUGUGAGGUUAAGCGACUAAGCGUACACGGUGGAUGCCCUGGCAGUCAGAGGCGAUGAAGGGCGUGCUAAUCUGCGAUAAGCGCCGGUAAGGUGAUAUGAACCGUUAUAACCGGCGAUACCCGAAUGGGGAAACCCAGUGUGAUUCGUCACACUAUCAUUAACUGAAUCCAUAGGUUAAUGAGGCGAACCGGGGGAACUGAAACAUCUAAGUACCCCGAGGAAAAGAAAUCAACCGAGAUUCCCCCAGUAGCGGCGAGCGAACGGGGAGGAGCCCAGAGCCUGAAUCAGCAUGUGUGUUAGUGGAAGCGUCUGGAAAGGCGCGCGAUACAGGGUGACAGCCCCGUACACAAAAGCGUAUGUGCUGUGAGCUCGAUGAGUAGGGCGGGACACGUGGUAUCCUGUCUGAAUAUGGGGGGACCAUCCUCCAAGGCUAAAUACUCCUGACUGACCGAUAGUGAACCAGUACCGUGAGGGAAAGGCGAAAAGAACCCCGGCGAGGGGAGUGAAAAAGAACCUGAAACCGUGUACGUACAAGCAGUGGGAGCACCCUUUGGGGUGUGACUGCGUACCUUUUGUAUAAUGGGUCAGCGACUUAUAUUCUGUAGCAAGGUUAACCGAAUAGGGGAGCCGGAGGGAAACCGAGUCUUAAUUGGGCGUUAAGUUGCAGGGUAUAGACCCGAAACCCGGUGAUCUAGCCAUGGGCAGGUUGAAGGUUGGGUAACACUAACUGGAGGACCGAACCGACUAAUGUUGAAAAAUUAGCGGAUGACCUGUGGCUGGGGGUGAAAGGCCAAUCAAACCGGGAGAUAGCUGGUUCUCCCCGAAAGCUAUUUAGGUAGCGCCUCGUGAAUUCAUCUCCGGGGGUAGAGCACUG